rnacentral:rRNA from 1 species
UACGAGUGCCUCAAGCGUUAUCCGGAAUUAUUGGGCGUAAAGGGUGUGUAGGCGGUCUUGCUAGUCUUGUGUUAAAACCAGAAGCUCAACUUCUGAUAUGCACAGGAAACGGCAAAACUAGAGUGCGCGAGAGGUUUGCGGAACUCAUGGUGUAGGGGUGAAAUCGUUGAUAUCAUGGGGAACACCAAAUGCGAAGGCAGCAAACUGGCGCGUCACCUGACGCUGAAACACGAAAGCGUGGGGUAAGCGAAAAUGGGGAAAUUGAGACGUUACCCGGUUGGUCAGUUCCGAUGAAGACCCAAAGUCCUACUUGGACCUCAACCGGUAACGUUUCCA